rfam:Paenibacillus sabinae T27, complete genome.
AUUGACCAAAGGCAAACUCGUUCGAAAGGCGGGGGCGCAAAGCCACGGGUCUUCCGUUAUAGUAAGCUAUAACCAGACAGCCGGGUUGCUCAG